rnacentral:rRNA from 1 species
UCCAGGCAAAUCCGGAUAAUCAAGGCUGAGGUGUGAUGACGAGGCACUACGGUGCUGAAGUAACAAAUGCCCUGCUUCCAGGAAAAGCCUCUAAGCAUCAGGUAACAUCAAAUCGUACCCCAAACCGACACAGGUGGUCAGGUAGAGAAUACCAAGGCGCUUGAGAGAACUCGGGUGAAGGAACUAGGCAAAAUGGUGCCGUAACUUCGGGAGAAGGCACGCUGGUGUGUAGGUGAAGCCCCUGCGGGUGGAGCUGAGACCAGUCGAAGAUACCAGCUGGCUGCAACUGUUUAUUAAAAACACAGCACUGUGCAAACACGAAAGUGGACGUAUACGGUGUGACGCCUGCCCGGUGCCGGAAGGUUAAUUGAUGGGGUUAUCCGUAAGGAGAAGCUCUUGAUCGAAGCCCCGGUAAACGGCGGCCGUAACUAUAACGGUCCUAAGGUAGCGAAAUUCCUUGUCGGGUAAGUUCCGACCUGCACGAAUGGCGUAAUGAUGGCCAGGCUGUCUCCACCCGAGACUCAGUGAAAUUGAACUCGCUGUGAAGAUGCAGUGUACCCGCGGCAAGACGGAAAGACCCCGUGAACCUUUACUAUAGCUUGACACUGAACAUUGAGCCUUGAUGUGUAGGAUAGGUGGGAGGCUUUGAAGCGUGGACGCCAGUCUGCGUGGAGCCAACCUUGAAAUACCACCCUUUAAUGUUUGAUGUUCUAACGUUGGCCCCUUACCGGGGUUGCGGACAGUGUCUGGUGGGUAGUUUGACUGGGGCGGUCUCCUCCCAAAGCGUAACGGAGGAGCACGAAGGUUAGCUAAUCCUGGUCGGACAUCAGGAGGUUAGUGCAAUGGCAUAAGCUAGCUUGACUGCGAGCGUGACGGCGCGAGCAGGUGCGAAAGCAGGUCAUAGUGAUCCGGUGGUUCUGAAUGGAAGGGCCAUCGCUCAACGGAUAAAAGGUACUCCGGGGAUAACAGGCUGAUACCGCCCAAGAGUUCAUAUCGACGGCGGUGUUUGGCACCUCGAUGUCGGCUCAUCACAUCCUGGGGCUGAAGUAGGUCCCAAGGGUAUGGCUGUUCGCCAUUUAAAGUGGUACGCGAGCUGGGUUUAGAACGUCGUGAGACAGUUCGGUCCCUAUCUGCCGUGGGCGCUGGAGAAUUGAGGGGGGCUGCUCCUAGUACGAGAGGACCGGAGUGGACGCAUCACUGGUGUUCGGGUUGUCAUGCCAAUGGCACUGCCCGGUAGCUAAAUGCGGAAGAGAUAAGUGCUGAAAGCAUCUAAGCACGAAACUUGCCCCGAGAUGAGUUCUCCCUGAGACUUUAAGUCUCCUGAAGGAACGUUAAAGACGAUGACGUUGAUAGGCCGGGUGUGUAAGCGCAGCGAUGCGUUGAGCUAACCGGUACUAAUGAACCGUGAGGCUUAACCUUACAACGCCGAAG